rnacentral:rRNA from 1 species
GACGAACGCUGGCGGCGUGCUUAACACAUGCAAGUCGAGCGGUAAGGCCUUUCGGGGUACACGAGCGGCGAACGGGUGAGUAACACGUGGGUGAUCUGCCCUGCACUUCGGGAUAAGCCUGGGAAACUGGGUCUAAUACCGGAUAUGACCUCCUAUCGCAUGGUGGGUGGUGGAAAGAUUUAUCGGUGCAGGAUGGGCCCGCGGCCUAUCAGCUUGUUGGUGGGGUAAUGGCCUACCAAGGCGACGACGGGUAGCCGACCUGAGAGGGUGACCGGCCACACUGGGACUGAGACACGGCCCAGACUCCUACGGGAGGCAGCAGUGGGGAAUAUUGCACAAUGGGCGAAAGCCUGAUGCAGAGACGCCGCGUGAGGGAUGACGGCCUUCGGGUUGUAAACCUCUUUCAGCAGGGACGAAGCGCAAGUGACGGUACCUGCAGAAGAAGCACCGGCUAACUACGUG